rnacentral:rRNA from 1 species
UACGAAGGGGGCUAGCGUUGCUCGGAAUCACUGGGCGUAAAGGGUGCGUAGGCGGGUCUUUAAGUCAGGGGUGAAAUCCCGGGGGCUCAACCCCGGAACUGCCUUUGAUACUGGCAUUCUCGAGUCCGGAAGAGGUGAGUGGAAUUCCGAGUGUAGAGGUGAAAUUCGUAGAUAUUCGGAGGAACACCAGUGGCGAAGGCGGCUCACUGGUCCGGUACUGACGCUGAGGUGCGAAAGCGUGGGGAGCAAACAGGGAUUAAGAAACCCU